GGAGAUGUAGUUCAGUCAGAAGAAUGCUUGCUUGGUAAGCAUAAAGUCCUAGGUUCAGUCCCUAGCAUAACAA
rnacentral:tRNA from 1 species